rnacentral:rRNA from 1 species
GCCCGUACCGUAAACCGACACAGGUGGGUGGGAUGAGUAUUCUAAGGCGCGUGGAAGAACUCUCUUUAAGGAACUCUGCAAAAUAGCACCGUAUCUUCGGUAUAAGGUGUGGUUAGCUUUGUAUUAGGAUUUACUCCGAAAGCAAGGAAACUUACAACAAAGAGUCCCUCCCGACUGUUUACCAAAAACACAGCACUCUGCUAACUCGUAAGAGGAUGUAUAGGGUGUGACGCCUGCCCGGUGCUCGAAGGUUAAUUGAUGGGGUUAGCAUUAGCGAAGCUCUUGAUCGAAGCCCGAGUAAACGGCGGCCGUAACUAUAACGGUCCUAAGGUAGCGAAAUUCCUUGUCGGUUAAAUACCGACCUGCAUGAAUGGCGUAACGAGAUGGGAGCUGUCUCAAAGAGGGAUCCAGUGAAAUUGUAGUGGAGGUGAAAAUUCCUCCUACCCGCGGCAAGACGGAAAGACCCCGUGGACCUUUACUACAGCUUGACACUGCUACUUGGAUAAGAAUGUGCAGGAUAGGUGGGAGGCUUUGAGUAUAUGACGCCAGUUGUAUAUGAGCCAUUGUUGAGAUACCACUCUUUCUUAUUUGGGUAGCUAACCAGCUUGAGUUAUCCUCAAGUGGGACAAUGUCUGGUGGGUAGUUUGACUGGGGCG